ACUACGGGUGGCAGCAGUGAGGAAUAUUGGUCAAUGGCCGAAAGUCUGAACCAGCCAAGUCGCGUGAGGGACGACUGCCCUAUGGGUUGUAAACUUCUUUUAUAAAGGAAGAAUAAAUGCUACGUGUAGCAUGAUGCAUGUACCUUAUGAAUAAGCAUCGGCUAACUCCGUGCCAGCAGCCGCGGUAAUACGGAGGGUGCGAGCGUUAUCCGGAUUUAUGGGGUUUAAAGGGGGCGUAAUGGGUUUUUAAGGCUAGUGGUUAAAUGUGGGGGCUUCACCUUAAUUUGCCAUUAAUACUGGAAGUCUUGAGUUCAGAUGAGGUAGGCGGAAUAAGUGAAGUAGCGGUGAAAUGCUUAGAUAUAACGUAGAACCCCGAUAGCGAAGGCAGCUUACCAGACUGCGACUGACGCUGAAGCACGAGAGCGUGGGUAGCGAACAGGAUUAGAUACCCCGGUAGUC
rnacentral:rRNA from 1 species